UAGCAUUGUCAAAGCAGUAACAACUCUUGGUUUACGGUUCGUGUAAAGAGAGUGCAAUUCUAUAUUAGAGGAAAUCAUUGAUGUAACAAAUUCCGUAUCUGCUGCAGUUCCUGCACCAGCACACCAAAUAUUGGGAGAAAUUAAAUGAAGUUUUUUACCUUCUAAGGUCAGAAAAAGCCUUAUGCUUAUAAAUAAAUGCAACUUACAAUUUUUGUCAGCAAUGAUGGGCCCAGCUGUAGCACGAGUAUCAGCACCUAGGACAAUACAAUCUUUGGCAAUGACACCAACGAUAGUAGUUCCUGUUGAUGUAGCCUUUGGAGUUGGGAACCCUUUUUCCUGCAAAAGCA